CUACGGGUCGCACCAGUAGGGAAUCUUAGACAAUGGGGGAAACCCUGAUCUAGCCAUGCCGCGUGAGUGAUGAAGGCCUUAGGGUUGUAAAGCUCUUUCGCUGGGGAAGAUAAUGACGGUACCCAGUAAAGAAACCCCGGCUAACUCCGUGCCAGCAGCCGCGGUAAUACGGAGGGGGUUAGCGUUGUUCGGAAUUACUGGGCGUAAAGCGCGCGUAGGCGGGCUAUUAAGUCAGGGGUGAAAUCCCGGGGCUCAACCCCGGAACUGCCUUUGAUACUGGUAGUCUUGAGUUCGAGAGAGGUGAGUGGAAUUCCGAGUGUAGAGGUGAAAUUCGUAGAUAUUCGGAGGAACAUCAGUGGCGAAGGCGACUCACUGGCUCGAUACUGACGCUGAGGUGCGAAAGUGUGGGGAGCAAGCAGGAUUAGAUACCCCGGUAGUC
rnacentral:rRNA from 1 species